AUUGAACGCGGGCGGCGUGCUUAACACAUGCAAGUCGAUCGGUAACGCGGGGGCAACCCUGGCGACGAGAGGCGGACGGGUGAGGAACGCUUGGGAAUCUGCCCUUCAGCGGGGGACAACACGGGGAAACUCGUGCUAAUACCGCAUACGCUCCACGGAGGAAAGCCGGGGACCGCAAGGCCUGGCACUGAAGGAUGAGCCCAAGUCGGAUUAGCUAGUUGGCGGGGUAACGGCCCACCAAGGCGACGAUCCGUAGCUGGUCUGAGAGGACGAUCAGCCACACUGGGACUGAGACACGGCCCAGACUCCUACGGGAGGCAGCAGUGGGGAAUAUUGGACAAUGGGGGAAACCCUGAUCCAGCGACGCCGCGUGGGUGAAGAAGGCCUGCGGGUUGUAAAGCCCUUUCGGUAGGGACGAAAGCUCUCGACCUAACACGUCGGGAGGUUGACUUAACCUACAAAAGAAGCACCGGCUAACUCUGUGCCAGCCGCCGCGGUAAGAC
rnacentral:rRNA from 1 species